rnacentral:rRNA from 1 species
UACGUAGGUGGCAAGCGUUGUCCGGAAUUAUUGGGCGUAAAGCGCGCGCAGGCGGUCCUUUAAGUCUGAUGUGAAAUCACGUGGCUCAACCACGUGCGGUCAUUGGAAACUGGAGGACUUGAGUGCAGAAGAGGAAAGUGGAAUUCCAAGUGUAGCGGUGAAAUGCGUAGAGAUUUGGAGGAACACCAGUGGCGAAGGCGACUUUCUGGUCUGUAACUGACGCUGAGGCGCGAAAGCGCGGGGAUCAAACAGG